AUGAACGGCUGGCCACAAGGCAACAUUGGAGGAAACAGUAUGUUCUCACAGCAGCAGGCAUCGCCGCAGUUCACUCAGCAGAACAACAGCAACAUGUACAACGGCAAUGGCAUGAACCUUAACAACGUCUCCAUGGCCGCCAACAUGGCUACCAGCAGCAUGGGCCAGAUGGGCGGGCAGAUGAGCGUCACGUCCAUGGCCUCGGGGCCCUCGCCCGGCUUGCCCUCCAUGGGAACAGAACAGAAAUACUGUUGACCCUCAUGGAGCUCUUACCCUGAACCUCAGUGAUCAGCUGGUCCAAGGAGCACGUCGGCCCUUUAAAAUUGUACAAACAUGUAACCAUCUGACGGCCCCUUGAACCAGCCAGGCCCGGACCCCGGCCCCCGGAUGUCACCCCCAGCUCCGAGUUUGCUGUCUGUCCCCAGGCCG